GAUGAACGCUGGCGGCGUGCCUAAUACAUGCAAGUCGAACGCUGGAAAUCUAGCUUGCUAGAUUGAAGGAGUGGCGAACGGGUGAGUAAUACAUAAGCAACCUACCCACGAAGACUGGGAUAAUCUCUGGAAACGGGGACUAAUACCGGAUAGGUAAUCGGAAGGCAUCUUCUGAUUAUUAAAGGUUAAAAACACUGGUGGAUGGGCUUAUGGCGCAUUAGUUAGUUGGUGAGGUAACGGCCCACCAAGACGAUGAUGCGUAGCCGGCCUGAGAGGGUGAACGGCCACAUUGGGACUGAGGCACGGCCCAGACUCCUACGGGAGGCAGCAGUAGGGAAUUUUCAGCAAUGGGGGAAACCCUGACCGAGCAACGCCGCGUGAGUGAUGACGGCCUUCGGGUUGUAAAGCUCUGUUGUAAGGGAAGAACGGUAGAUAGAGAAUAUCUAAAUGACGGUACCUUACCAGAAAGCCACGGCUAACUACGUG
rnacentral:rRNA from 1 species